CCGCCAUCGUCGCCUCCGUCGAAUACCGCCUGGCACCGGAAGACCGUCUACCUGCUGCAUAUGAUGACGCCGUUGACGCAAUUAAUUGGAUGAGAAACCAAGCGCUAGACCCCACUAAGUCGGAGCCUUGGAUUCGGGAGCAUGCAGACUUUAACAACUGCUUCUUAAUGGGAUGUAGUGCUGGGGGCAAUAUCACCUACUUUGCAGGUAUGUACACCACUAGUUUCUUCAACUCUACAUUAUCUAUUUGGUUUUUUUCCACAACUCUCAAAACUUUUACAUCAUUUUGAAAACAUUUCUUAUUAUUAAUGUUGUUGUGUUAAUUCAAGUCUGAAAUAUCAUAUUGUUUUUUAAUAGAAUUGAUCUAAUAGUUUAUAAAUGGAACUGAAUAAUUGAACUAUUCUCUCAAGAUUUUGGUCCACAUGUGGCUUUUUACUAUUCUUAUGUUUGUUAACAAUUGUAUUCCCCCAUGAUUGCUUCCUGUUAUGAUGGGAUUAAACAAGUGAUAUCAUAGCAUAUAAUUUGAUACUUGAGAAUCUAAUAGGAGUUAUAAUAGUAUUAUUUGCUUCAAUUGGAAUUAAGAAUAUGUUGGGUGGAUCAUAUAGAUGAAAAUAAAAUCACUGAAAAAUAAAUAGCUGGAGAAAAAGUGUCACCAAAUACCGUUGAAAAAGUUGUAUUACUUUCAACCCAAGGAAAUAAAUAGAGAUGAGUCCGUUUACACCCUGAUUGCACUGUCGAGACUAUUUAACGUGGGGUUGUAAGAGGUCGGGAUAAUUAUGGGUCAAAUUGGGUAAGGUGGGGUAAGGUUUGUUCAUUGCCGACUAUAAAUGUUACUCAAAUUAUUUUUUAAAUUUGAAUUCGGCCCUAGUCAUGUAGCGAAUAUAUGAUAUGUAUCAUUUUCAAACAAAGUCUUUUUAAUAUUAGUUAUCAUUAUGGAUAUGUAAUACGACAUAUAAAAUGAUAUGCAUAUAUAUAUAUAUAUAUUUUGUUAAUAAUGUGAAUAUGAUAAAAAAUAAGAGAAACUGUGAUAUUUUCGAUCAAAGAUACGUUAUUAUUCUCUACACAAUUGAAUAUAAAUAUAUAUAAACAUAAUGAAUGACCGACAAUGAGCCGAAUUAUGUUUGCCUUCUACUCAGUCCUAAACAUUGAUCAUGCUUAAAUUUUGGAAUCGAUCCAGACCAGACAAAAUUCAACCAUAUUUGGAUCCAAUCACGAUCGAACUAAAUUGGGUGAGUGAGUAGGGUUAGGUCCUGCUCACUCCUAGCUAGAGGUAUUGAUAUGAGUAUCUCAAACAUUCUCAUUUUCUAUUGGGUGCGUUUGAUAAUUAUAAAUAGUUAUAAAGAAUGGUGUGAGAUCCAUUUAAAAAUUUAGUUAAAUUGUUUAAAUGACGUGACAUUAUGGGGGGAAAAA
rnacentral:lncRNA from 1 species